rnacentral:lncRNA from 1 species
GAGAAGAAAAGAGCUUUGAUUAGCACAAGAAGGGUUAACUUCUUGUCUCCUGUGAAGGAAACUCUGGAGCAGAAUAGUAUGUAGCUACUAUUGUAGCAACUCCAUAGGAUACUUUGAAAUACAUAAAGUGCUCUCACAUGCAUGACCUUAUUUAUUCUCUACAGAUCCCUGUGAGCACUAAAUUCACUGUUUCCUUUUACAAACUCUUAAAUUUAGGAAUAAUCAAUUGUUUUCCUAUCUUUUAAAGAUAUACUAAUGAAAAUGCAGAAAGAUUACCCUAAAUUCACACAAGGCAUAACUGAGAGAGAUGGGAGGCAGACUGAGUUCUGACCCCCAAUCGAGAGUCUCUCCCUUUACAAUGAGCUGUUUCUCUAUUUAGCCUGAACUAGAGAAAUUAUCUUUUAAUAGCUCUUAAUAACAGUAGAAACAGUUCUGCUCUUGAUAAGACUUAGGUACCACUCUUCCGAAGAGUUGAAAAUCACUGUUGUUAUAAUUUUGAAAAAUCUUUGAGCCUAAAAAUUUGUUGGCCUACCUGAAAAAUAAUUUUCAGUCUUGC